rnacentral:rRNA from 1 species
AUUGAACGCUGGCGGCAUGCCUUACACAUGCAAGUCGAACGGCAGCGCGGGGGCAACCCUGGCGGCGAGUGGCGAACGGGUGAGUAAUAUAUCGGAACGUACCCUAGAGUGGGGGAUAACGUAGCGAAAGUUACGCUAAUACCGCAUACGAUCUACGGAUGAAAGCGGGGGAUCGCAAGACCUCGCGCUCAUGGAGCGGCCGAUAUCUGAUUAGCUAGUUGGUAGGGAAAAGCCUACCAAGGCAUCGAUCAGUAGCUGGUCUGAGAGGACGACCAGCCACACUGGGACUGAGACACGGCCCAGACUCCUACGGGAGGCAGCAGUGGGGAAUUUUGGACAAUGGGGGCAACCCUGAUCCAGCAAUGCCGCGUGAGUGAAGAA